rnacentral:rRNA from 1 species
AUUGAACGCUGGCGGCAUGCUUUACACAUGCAAGUCGAACGGCAGCGCGGGGCAACCUGGCGGCGAGUGGCGAACGGGUGAGUAAUACAUCGGAACGUACCCAGAAGUGGGGGAUAACGUAGCGAAAGUUACGCUAAUACCGCAUACGUUCUACGGAAGAAAGUGGGGGAUCUUCGGACCUCAUGCUUUUGGAGCGGCCGAUGUCUGAUUAGCUAGUUGGUGAGGUAAAGGCUCACCAAGGCGACGAUCAGUAGCUGGUCUGAGAGGACGACCAGCCACACUGGGACUGAGACACGGCCCAGACUCCUACGGGAGGCAGCAGUGGGGAAUUUUGGACAAUGGGCGCAAGCCUGAUCCAGCAAUGCCGCGUGAGUGAAGAAGGCCUUCGGGUUGUAAAGCUCUUUUGUCAGGGAAGAAACGGCUGAGGAUAAUACCUUCGGCUAAUGACGGUACCUGAAGAAUAAGCACCGGCUAACUACGUGCCAGCCGCCGCAGUAA